UAGAAGCACCUCUAUUCUAAUUAGGUGCUGUAAGCUGGGCUAAUCUCAUUCUAGAUUUUUAAUUCACGAUCGUGAAGGGGGCGAUGUAUCUAAAUGUCCCAGUCCAUUGAAUUUGUACUCCGCAUGUCUUUGAAUGAACCACCUUUCAUAUUUGAGAGUGCAUAUAGUCUAGGAGCAGAAAGCGCAAGGGGAGCUUUGGUGUUCUAAUGAUCAUGCCGAAAAGAAAUCGACCCCCCAUGAUUUACAUUCCAGCCAUAAUGAUUAGAGAACCAGUCUACAGAUUUGAUGAUAGAGCUCCAGGGACCUUUGUUGAUGUUAUACUUUCCUUUGAAAGGGAAUUUUCCUAUACAACCUUGAUCUUAUUUAACAAUAAUCAAUUUUUUUCAGAGAGGUUGGUUUUCAUUGAUGAAUCUUCAAAGCCACUUAGAUAACAAAGCAAAAUUUGCAUUAUUUGCUUUGGUACUACCGAGACCUCUCAUACUAUUAGGUGAAGAUAUUUUGGACCAUUUUAUACAAUUUACAUUUCGACCAUCCCCUGUACCUUUCCAUAAAAAGUCUCUCCAGCUUUUCUCAUUUUUUUUAAACUUCUUUAAAAGCCUUGAACACAUACAUAUGAUAUGUAGGGAGGCUUUCCAAUGAUGAGUUAAUGAGAGUGAUUCUUCCGCCUUUAGAGAUGUAUGAGAAUUUCCAGCUACUAAGUUUCUUUUGGAUCUUCUCAACAAUGUUGUCCCAGAACUUUAGAGAAGGAGGUUUUCCCCCCAAAGGAACUCCAAGUAAGAAGUCUACUCAGGUAAUCCAUGGCUAAAACAAAGAUAGAGGGAGAAAUAGGGUCGCCUUGACAAAUACCUCUGCUUGGGCUAAUUUGACCUCGUGGCUUUCCAUUGAUCAAGACUGAAUACUGAACACUUGAUAUACAAGCUUUGAUCAUUUUUCUCCACUGAUCGGAAAAGUUUUUUUCAUCAGUAUAAAAUCAAUAAAUUUUCAGCUUACUUUAUUAAAAGCUUUUUCUAUGUCAAACUUGAUCACAUAUCCUUUUACUUUUUUUGCUCUCCAAUAGUCAAUGGCCUCGUUGGCAAUAAGAAUAGCAUCACCAAUUUGUCUUCCUUUUACAAAUGCCAUUUGGAAUUCUGAAAUAGUGUCAGGUAAGGUGGCCUUUAGUCUUUCCUCAAGCACUUUUGCAAUUAACUUAUAAACAGCAGUGGUAAGACUUAGAGGCCAUUAAUCUGAAGGGCUUUCACAUUUCACUUUUUUUGCAAUCAAGGCAAUAUAAGUUUCGUUAACCACCUUAUUGAUAACUUUAUUUGUAUAGAGAUCACGAAGAAUGUCUAUAAUAUUAGUCUUCAUGUAGGUCCAGGCUUUUUUUUAAGAAUUUCAUGGUGAACCCAUCUGACCCAGGGGCUUCGUUGUUAUCAAAAGACUUCAAGGCAUUCCAAACUUCCAAUUCAUCAAAGGAUUUAUCAAGCAAUAAUCUAUUCAUAUCUGAGAUUGGUUCCCAAUCGAUGUUGUCAACAAAAUUUCGUUCUUUCCUGGUAGCUUAAUAAAUAUUUUUUAAGUGAUGUAAAAAAUCAACUUCAAUAUCACCAUCUUUAGUACAAGCUUGCCCUAAUAUAUCAAUCACGUUGGAGAUUA